rnacentral:rRNA from 1 species
GACGAACGCUGGCGGCGUGCUUAACACAUGCAAGUCGAACGGAAAGGCCCUGCUUUUGUGGGGUGCUCGAGUGGCGAACGGGUGAGUAACACGUGAGUAACCUGCCCUUGACUUUGGGAUAACUUCAGGCAACUGGGGCUAAUACCGGAUAGGAGCUCCUGCUGCAUGGUGGGGGUUGGAAAGUUUCGGCGGUUGGGGAUGGACUCGCGGCUUAUCAGCUUGUUGGUGGGGUAGUGUCUUACCAAGGCUUUGACGGGUAGCCGGCCUGAGAGGGUGACCGGCCACAUUGGGACUGAGAUACGGCCCAGACUCCUACGGGAGGCAGCAGUGGGGAGUAUUGCACAAUGGGCGGAAGCCUGAUGCAGCAACGCCGCGUGCGGGAUGACGGCCUUCGGGUUGUAAACCGCUUUCGCCUGUGACGAAGCGUGAGUGACGGUAAUGGGUAAAGAAGCACCGGCUAACUACGUG